GGGUAUAUAGCUCCAUGGUAGAGUGAGUGCUUAGCAUUCAUGAGGUCCUGGGUUCAAUUCCCAAUACCUCCA
rnacentral:tRNA from 1 species